rnacentral:rRNA from 1 species
CGUACGGCUCCUUAACACGUAGUCAACCUGCCCUGGAGACGCGGACAAGCCCGGGAAACUGGGAGUAAUCCGCGAUAGAUGACCUCAUCUGGAAGGAGAAGUCGUCGAAAAGGCCGCACGGGUAUGCUCUGUGCGAUCCGCUCUAGGAUGGGACUGCGGCCGAUCAGGCUGUUGGCGGGGUAAUGGCCCACCAAACCUGUAACCGGUACGGGCUUUGAGAGAAGGAGCCCGGAGAUGGACACUGAGACAAGGGUCCAGGCCCUACGGGGCGCAUCAGGCGCGAAAACUUCGCAAUGCGCGAAAGCGUGACGAGGCUAGUCCGAGUGCUCCCUGCUAAAGGGGGCUUUUCUCGGCUGUAAAUAGGCCGGGGAAUAAGGGGAGGGCAAGUCUGGUGUCAGCCGCCGCGGUAAUACCAGCUCCUCGAGUGGUCGGGACGAUUAUUGGGCCUAAAGCACCCGUAGCCGGUUCUGUAAGUCCUCUGUUAAAUCCAGUCGCUCAACGGCUGGCCUGCAGAGGAUACUGCGGGACUAGGAGGCGGGAGAGGCGGACGGUACUCCGCGUGUAGGGGUAAAAUCCUUUGAUCCGCGGAAGACCACCAGUGGCGAAGGCGGUCCGCCAGAACGCGCUCGACGGUGAGGGGUGAAAGCUGGGGGAGCGAACC